GUCGCGCGGCUGCGAGGCGCGCUCGCGCGAGAAGAUGGUGACGUUUGAAGACGACCCUACCGUCACGCCGGCGCGCAAGGCGCUCGCCCUGGAGGACGUCUUCAUGUGACGCCGCCGGACCACGUUCGGCGCUGUCCUGCGCAGGCGCAUCCUAUGAUUCUAGCAGGAGUGUGGCUGUAUUUGAGUAUACCAAGCAGCAGUGCACAUUAUGCUACUGUAAGGAAUUGUUCCCAAUAGGUGAAUGCCCAUAAUUUAAAACAAAUGAUGAUUCAGACUCUAACCAUGCAUGUAUUCAACCAUUUCCGACACAUUAAUAUCUCACUAAAUUAUCACUACGCACUCCAAAGUGAAAUGUGAUUUAAACAAGACUCCUGUAACACUGUAUUGUCUCAGGUUCGAUAUGAAAAAUUUAAAACUCCACAUCAUGAGGGGAAAGCUACAGUCUACAUAAAAAAAAAUGAAGAUUUGUUUAUAGGGAUGGUGGGUACUUCAAGAACAGUGCUAAUUAAUGCCAAGAGCAAAAAUACAUCUUUUAAAUUCUACUGGUGCUGUUACUUUGUAGUGAAUACCGUAUGUUAUAUUUCUAUUUUGUGUGGUGGUUCACGUCCACAAAGGUUCCUCAUGUCUAAAAGAUCUGGGCCUAAAAGGAGAAUUCACUUGACCUAUGUGUACUAUAAGGAAUUGUUGUGUGAUUUUUGAUAAUUAGUAUGAAAGUGGGUAAUAUGACAAAAAAAGAAAUAAGCAUUAGGUGAAAGACAGUGCACAGAUUUAUCAUUUUAUGGUAAAACAUCUGUCCAGAUACUUAAAUUUUAUGUGCAUAUUGAUUUCACAUGUGAAUGUAUCAUUGUCAAAUGGUGUGAUCUUAUUUUGUUUGUUUACUAAGAAGUUUUAUUGUUGUAAUAACAAUUCUGCAGAAUAAUUAUUAAAAUUAAAUAUUAUGAAAACUGUUGCAAGUUAGAUAUACAACACAUUUAUCCAGUUAACUGUUCCUUUUUUAUUUAUAAAUAGUAUGUAUCUUGAAAGAUAACACUAAAGAUUAAUAAAUGUUGUUAUAAGAGCA